AGAGCUGGAUAUGCAAAUAUCGUUGAAUCGCCUCUCAGUCAUCAUCUGACUGCCUUACGAUCGUUACCAUGGUAACACUACCCGCCAACUGAGUUCGUUGCCAACCGAUCGGUGUACUUGUUCAACGGAGCAAGAACAACAAAGUAAUCACGUUACAUAAAAUUUAAACGGGAGAUUAGCAAGGCUUUCUUUCGUAACAUUUUUUCCCAUUAGAACAAUACAAAUGUUCCACGGUUCAUUGAACAAGAAUCUACGUGUUACGGCUCUCUAAGUGUAAACUAACUCGCCCAACAAUAAAACAAAACGACCGUCGAAAAUGGUUUGAUGAAAAUUCAUAAGGUUCUUUUAAAACUAGACUGCACUAAAGGUAAUCGAACGAACGGAUGCGGCCUAAAAUCGCAAUCACUGAAUUGCAUGCAGAAGAGUGUUGAUAAAACUUAUCGAUAAGCUGUGUCAG